UACGUAGGGUGCAAGUGUUAAUCGGAAUUACUGGGCGUAAAGCGUGCGCAGGCGGUUAUGCAAGACAGAGGUGAAAUCCCCGGGCUCAACCUGGGAACUGCCUUUGUGACUGCAUAGCUAGAGUACGGUAGAGGGGGAUGGAAUUCCGCGUGUAGCAGUGAAAUGCGUAGAGAUGCGGAGGAACACCGAUGGCGAAGGCAGCCCCCUGGGCUAGCACUGACGCUCAGGCACGAAAGCGUGGGUAGCAAACAGG
rnacentral:rRNA from 1 species